GAUGAAGAACGCAGCGAAAUGCGAUAAGUAAUGUGAAUUGCAGAAUUCAGUGAAUCAUCGAAUCUUUGAACGCACAUUGCGCCCGUCAGUAUUCUGGCGGGCAUGCCUGUUCGAGCGUCAUUACGCCCCUCAAGUCCCCUGUGGACUUGGUGUUGGGGAUCGGCGAGGCUGGUUUUCCAGCACAGCCGUCCCUUAAAUUAAUUGGCGGUCUCGCCGUGGCCCUCCUCUGCGCAGUAGUAAAACACUCGCAACAGGAGCCCGGCGCGGUCCACUGCCGUAAAACCCCCCAACUUUUUAUAGUUGACCUCGAAUCAGGUAGGACUACCUGCUGAACUUAAGCAUAUCAAUAAGCGGAGGA
rnacentral:misc_RNA from 1 species